rnacentral:rRNA from 1 species
UUAAGUUAUUAAGGGCGCACGGUGGAUGCCUUGGCACUAGAAGCCGAUGAAGGACGUUACUAACGACGAUAUGCUUUGGGGAGCUGUAAGUAAGCUUUGAUCCAGAGAUUUCCGAAUGGGGAAACCCAGCAUGAGUUAUGUCAUGUUAUCGAUAUGUGAAUACAUAGCAUAUCAGAAGGCACACCCGGAGAACUGAAACAUCUUAGUACCCGGAGGAAGAGAAAGAAAAUUCGAUUCCCUUAGUAGCGGCGAGCGAAACGGGAAGAGCCCAAACCAACAAGCUUGCUUGUUGGGGUUGUAGGACACUCUAUACGGAGUUACAAAGGACGACAUUAGACGAAUCAUCUGGAAAGAUGAAUCAAAGAAGGUAAUAAUCCUGUAGUCGAAAAUGUUGUCUCUCUUGAGUGGAUCCUGAGUACGACGGAGCACGUGAAAUUCCGUCGGAAUCUGGGAGGACCAUCUCCUAAGGCUAAAUACUCUCUAGUGACCGAUAGUGAACCAGUACCGUGAGGGAAAGGUGAAAAGCACCCCGGAAGGGGAGUGAAAUAGAACCUGAAACCGUGUGCUUACAAGUAGUCAGAGCCCGUUAAUGGGUGAUGGCGUGCCUUUUGUAGAAUGAACCGGCGAGUUACGAUUUGAUGCAAGGUUAAGCAGUAAAUGUGGAGCCGUAGCGAAAGCGAGUCUGAAUAGGGCGUUUAGUAUUUGGUCGUAGACCCGAAACCAGGUGAUCUACCCUUGGUCAGGUUGAAGUUCAGGUAACACUGAAUGGAGGACCGAACCGACUUACGUUGAAAAGUGAGCGGAUGAACUGAGGGUAGCGGAGAAAUUCCAAUCGAACCUGGAGAUAGCUGGUUCUCUCCGAAAUAGCUUUAGGGCUAGCCUCAAGUGAUGAUUAUUGGAGGUAGAGCACUGUUUGGACGAGGGGCCCCUAUCGGGUUACCGAAUUCAGACAAACUCCGAAUGCCAAUUAAUUUAACUUGGGAGUCAGAACAUGGGUGAUAAGGUCCGUGUUCGAAAGGGAAACAGCCCAGACCACCAGCUAAGGUCCCAAAAUAUAUGUUAAGUGGAAAAGGAUGUGGCGUUGCCCAGANUGCCUUGGCACUAGAAGCCGAUGAAGGACGUUACUAACGACGAUAUGCUUUGGGGAGCUGUAAGUAAGCUUUGAUCCAGAGAUUUCCGAAUGGGGAAACCCAGCAUGAGUUAUGUCAUGUUAUCGAUAUGUGAAUACAUAGCAUAUCAGAAGGCACACCCGGAGAACUGAAACAUCUUAGUACCCGGAGGAAGAGAAAGAAAAUUCGAUUCCCUUAGUAGCGGCGAGCGAAACGGGAAGAGCCCAAACCAACAAGCUUGCUUGUUGGGGUUGUAGGACACUCUAUACGGAGUUACAAAGGACGACAUUAGACGAAUCAUCUGGAAAGAUGAAUCAAAGAAGGUAAUAAUCCUGUAGUCGAAAAUGUUGUCUCUCUUGAGUGGAUCCUGAGUACGACGGAACACGUGAAAUUCCGUCGGAAUCUGGGAGGACCAUCUCCUAAGGCUAAAUACUCUCUAGUGACCGAUAGUGAACCAGUACCGUGAGGGAAAGGUGAAAAGCACCCCGGAAGGGGAGUGAAAUAGAACCUGAAACCGUGUGCUUACAAGUAGUCAGAGCCCGUUAAUGGGUGAUGGCGUGCCUUUUGUAGAAUGAACCGGCGAGUUACGAUUUGAUGCAAGGUUAAGCAGUAAAUGUGGAGCCGUAGCGAAAGCGAGUCUGAAUAGGGCGUUUAGUAUUUGGUCGUAGACCCGAAACCAGGUGAUCUACCCUUGGUCAGGUUGAAGUUCAGGUAACACUGAAUGGAGGACCGAACCGACUUACGUUGAAAAGUGAGCGGAUGAACUGAGGGUAGCGGAGAAAUUCCAAUCGAACCUGGAGAUAGCUGGUUCUCUCCGAAAUAGCUUUAGGGCUAGCCUCAAGUGAUGAUUAUUGGAGGUAGAGCACUGUUUGGACGAGGGGCCCCUCUCGGGUUACCGAAUUCAGACAAACUCCGAAUGCCAAUUAAUUUAACUUGGGAGUCAGAACAUGGGUGAUAAGGUCCGUGUUCGAAAGGGAAACAGCCCAGACCACCAGCUAAGGUCCCAAAAUAUAUGUUAAGUGGAAAAGGAUGUGGCGUUGCCCAGACAACUAGGAUGUUGGCUUAGAAGCAGCCAUCAUUUAAAGAGUGCGUAAUAGCUCACUAGUCGAGUGACACUGCGCCGAAAAUGUACCGGGGCUAAACAUAUUACCGAAGCUGUGGAUUGUCCUUUGGACAAUGGUAGGAGAGCGUUCUAAGGGCGUUGAAGCAUGAUCGUAAGGACAUGUGGAGCGCUUAGAAGUGAGAAUGCCGGUGUGAGUAGCGAAAGACGGGUGAGAAUCCCGUCCACCGAUUGACUAAGGUUUCCAGAGGAAGGCUCGUCCGCUCUGGGUUAGUCGGGUCCUAAGCUGAGGCCGACAGGCGUAGGCGAUGGAUAACAGGUUGAUAUUCCUGUACCACCUAUAAUCGUUUUAAUCGAUGGGGGGACGCAGUAGGAUAGGCGAAGCGUGCGAUUGGAUUGCACGUCUAAGCAGUAAGGCUGAGUAUUAGGCAAAUCCGGUACUCGUUAAGGCUGAGCUGUGAUGGGGAGAAGACAUUGUGUCUUCGAGUCGUUGAUUUCACACUGCCGAGAAAAGCCUCUAGAUAGAAAAUAGGUGCCCGUACCGCAAACCGACACAGGUAGUCAAGAUGAGAAUUCUAAGGUGAGCGAGCGAACUCUCGUUAAGGAACUCGGCAAAAUGACCCCGUAACUUCGGGAGAAGGGGUGCUCUUUAGGGUUAACGCCCAGAAGAGCCGCAGUGAAUAGGCCCAAGCGACUGUUUAUCAAAAACACAGGUCUCUGCUAAACCGUAAGGUGAUGUAUAGGGGCUGACGCCUGCCCGGUGCUGGAAGGUUAAGAGGAGUGGUUAGCUUCUGCGAAGCUACGAAUCGAAGCCCCAGUAAACGGCGGCCGUAACUAUAACGGUCCUAAGGUAGCGAAAUUCCUUGUCGGGUAAGUUCCGACCCGCACGAAAGGCGUAACGAUUUGGGCACUGUCUCAACGAGAGACUCGGUGAAAUCAUAGUACCUGUGAAGAUGCAGGUUACCCGCGACAGGACGGAAAGACCCCGUGGAGCUUUACUGUAGCCUGAUAUUGAAAUUCGGCACAGCUUGUACAGGAUAGGUAGGAGCCUUUGAAACGUGAGCGCUAGCUUACGUGGAGGCGCUGGUGGGAUACUACCCUAGCUGUGUUGGCUUUCUAACCCGCACCACUUAUCGUGGUGGGAGACAGUGUCAGGCGGGCAGUUUGACUGGGGCGGUCGCCUCCUAAAAGGUAACGGAGGCGCUCAAAGGUUCCCUCAGAAUGGUUGGAAAUCAUUCAUAGAGUGUAAAGGCAUAAGGGAGCUUGACUGCGAGACCUACAAGUCGAGCAGGGUCGAAAGACGGACUUAGUGAUCCGGUGGUUCCGCAUGGAAGGGCCAUCGCUCAACGGAUAAAAGCUACCCCGGGGAUAACAGGCUUAUCUCCCCCAAGAGUUCACAUCGACGGGGAGGUUUGGCACCUCGAUGUCGGCUCAUCGCAUCCUGGGGCUGUAGUCGGUCCCAAGGGUUGGGCUGUUCGCCCAUUAAAGCGGUACGCGAGCUGGGUUCAGAACGUCGUGAGACAGUUCGGUCCCUAUCCGUCGUGGGCGUAGGAAAUUUGAGAGGAGCUGUCCUUAGUACGAGAGGACCGGGAUGGACAUACCUCUGGUGUACCAGUUGUCGUGCCAACGGCAUAGCUGGGUAGCUAUGUGUGGACGGGAUAAGUGCUGAAAGCAUCUAAGCAUGAAGCCCCCCUCAAGAUGAGAUUUCCCAACUUCGGUUAUAAGAUCCCUCAAAGAUGAUGAGGUUAAUAGGUUCGAGGUGGAAGCAUGGUGACAUGUGGAGCUGACGAAUACUAAUCGAUCGAAGACUUAAUCAA